rnacentral:rRNA from 1 species
UACGAGAGGUCCAAGCGUUAGUCGGAAUCACUGGGCUUAAAGGGUGCGUAGGCGGGCUUGUAAGUGUCUUGUGAAAUCCCAUGGCUCAACCAUGGAACUGCAGGGCAUACUGCAAGCCUUGAGGAAUCUAGAGGCCGGCAGAACGAUAGGUGGAGCGGUGGAAUGCGUAGAUAUCUAUCGGAAUGCCAAAGGUGAAGACAGCCGGCUGGGGAUUUCCUGACGCUGAGGCACGAAAGCGUGGGGAUCAAAC